AUGAACGCCCCUCCAGCCUUCGAGUCGUUCUUGCUCUUCGAGGGCGAGAAGUAAGUGACGCCGGCUGCGGAGGGCCGAGGAUCACCAUUAACAAGGACACCAAGGUACCCAAUGCCUGUUUAUUCACCAUCAACAAAGAAGACCACACACUGGGAAACAUCAUUAAAUCACAACUCCUAAAAGACCCGCAAGUGCUAUUUGCUGGCUACAAAGUCCCCCACCCCUUGGAGCACAAGAUCAUCAUCCGAGUGCAGACCACGCCGGACUACAGCCCCCAGGAAGCCUUUACCAACGCCAUCACCGACCUCAUCAGUGAGCUGUCCCUGCUGGAGGAGCGCUUCCGGACGUGCCUGCUUCCCCUUCGCCUUCUGCCGUGAUUGUCAGUUUCCUGAGGCCUCCCCAGCCACGCUUCCUGUACAGCCUGCAGAACUCUGCCCCAGAGCACAUCAGCUAUGUGCCCCAGCUCUCAAACGACACCUUGGCGGGGAGGCUCACCCUGUCCACCUUCACGCUGGAGCAGCCUCUAGGCCAGUUCAGCAGCCACAACAUCUCUGACUUGGAUACCAUCUGGCUGGUGGUGGCCCUCAGCAACGCCACCCAGAGCUUCACGGCCCCACGGACAAACCAGGACAUCCCUGCUCCUGCCAACUUCUCCCAGAGGGGCUACUAUCUCACACUGAGGGCCAACCGGGUGCUGUACCAGACCAGAGGCCAGCUCCAUGUCCUCCGCGUCGGCAAUGAUACCCACUGCCAACCAACAAAAAUUGGCUGCAACCAUCCCCUACCAGGACCC
rnacentral:lncRNA from 1 species